AGUCGAGGGGUAUAGGUUUUCGGACCUAGAGACCGGCGCACGGGUGCGCAACGCGUAUGCAAUCUACCUUUUACAGAGGGAUAGCCCAGAGAAAUUUGGAUUAAUACCUCAUAGUAUUAUGACUCGGCAUCGAGAUAUAAUUAAAGUCACAACGGUAAAAGAUGAGCAUGCGUCCCAUUAGCUUGUUGGUAAGGUAACGGCUUACCAAGGCAACGAUGGGUAGGGGUCCUGAGAGGGAGAUCCCCCACACUGGUACUGAGACACGGACCAGACUCCUACGGGAGGCAGCAGUGAGGAAUAUUGGUCAAUGGGCGCAAGCCUGAACCAGCCAUGCCGCGUGCAGGAUGAAGCAUCUAUGGUGUGUAAACUGCUUUUGUACGAGAAGAAACACUCCUACGUGUAGGAGCUUGACGGUAUCGUAAGAAUAAGGACCGGCUAACUCCGUGCCAGCAGCCGCGGUAAUACGGAGGGUCCAAGCGUUAUCCGGAAUCAUUGGGUUUAAAGGGUCCGUAGGCGGUUUUGUAAGUCAGUGGUGAAAGCCCAUCGCUCAACGGUGGAACGGCCAUUGAUACUGCAAGACUUGAAUUAUUAGGAAGUAACUAGAAUAUGUAGUGUAGCGGUGAAAUGCUUAGAGAUUACAUGGAAUACCAAUUGCGAAGGCAGGUUACUACUAAUGGAUUGACGCUGAUGGACGAAAGCGUGGGGAGCGAACAGGAUUAGAUACCCUGGUAGUC
rnacentral:rRNA from 1 species